rnacentral:lncRNA from 1 species
AUGGUUGCAAUCUGCCAAGAGCUGAUAAGGAAAGAAUCCUGUGGGGACAAUGACAAAAAACUUAAAUCCAUCAAACCCAUGUCAGCACUAGGCAAGAAAACAAAUAGAAUUCCAGACAGUUCAGAACAAAUACUACAAAUCAGAGACCAUACUCCAACCUCCUUUCAAUCUUACACUUUUGAAAGACAACUUAGAAGUACAAAGGACGCUCAGAACUAAAAUCUUGACCUGUACCAUCAUUAUCUUUCACCUGGAUUUUUGCAGCAGCCUCCCAAGUGAACUUCCUGCCUUCUAUCAAGCCCACCACUGAAAAACAAAACAACAACAAAAUAAAUCUAGUCUAUUUUUAACAUACCAGGAUUUUUGGAUUAAAAUAUCAAUCAUAUCAUGCCUAUUCUCUGCAUAAAAUUCAACCAACUGGUUUCCAUCUGAC